AGAGAGAGAGAGAGAGAGAGAGAGAGAGGGGAGGGGUAGGGGUGCACAGAGAGACGGCGAGGUAGGGAGGGAGGAUGAGGUAGGGUUGCUUUCGGAAUUUUUGUUCCAGCUGGAAGUCAUUUCCACAAUCAUUUAUGAGGGAUGGAUUGCAGAGAGAGAAAGAGAGGGAUGAGUCAGAAUCUUGAACAGGGGCAUGUAAGGCCCAUUCGUGCAAGAUUUCAUCAUCCUUUCUUCAGCUCUUCUCUUCUCUCCCGACUUUCUCUCCUCACGACUCACUUCGUCUCUCCUGACUCUCUCUUCGCGACUCGCAAUGGCUUGUCCAAUGAAUAUCCGAUCAAAUCUGGGGAAACUAGGGGCGAUGUAGCUCCAAAUCAUCACCAAUCGAAGGAUGUGGCCUCCAAAUCACCACCAAUCGAAGGUCAAUUGAGAAUCGUAUAAAAUUUUGAUCCGAUUAAGUUUUUUGAUUGUGGUGAUCGAAACUGGGAAUCGGAAAGAAACCCCACACCCCAACAGUUUUCUGUACAGGUUUAGUUAAAGAUGGGUAAAUCAAGAGUUGUUGCUCCCAUAAAAGCUGUUUCGAAGGCAUAUGUGAUCACUUCUAUUCUGUAACAAUAAUGGAAGCGGAAGCAAGAGCUGAAUUUGUCUGCCAAGUGCAAUCGCCCGCAAAAGCAAGUUCAAGCUAUAUACUUUGAUUAGGAAGAGAUUGGUGGGUUGAGCCUUUGCCUGCAGGGAGUGGUAAUAUACUGAAUUUUUGGGAUUUUUGAUCUUUGCAUGAUUUUUGGUCUUUGAAAGGGUUGUCGUCUUCAUCUUCGUUAUUUUUUCAAUGGAAAAGCUGGACGAUCCAUGGAGCACAUGUUGUUGAGCCUUUUGCCACUGCUGGUCUGGUCCAAUUCGAAGGAGUCGGUGGAGGCCCUUUGGAGGAGCUGAAAAAUCAGUCUCCAGCUCCAUAACAAAUCGGACAUCGGCCCGGCAGCUUUUGGUGUGCCUGUGAAUGUUGAUUCGGCAAUGCGUUUACAAUAACGUCAAGAGGGAAGAGAUUCAAAAGAUGUUCCCAGUGUAGCUGUUUCAGAGUUGAAGAGGCUGUUGAUGCUUUUGCUGCAGAAGUUUCAGCGAGAAUGACGGCGAGAUGCACUCAAGGAUCAGUGUAAGCAUAUACCAAAACAACAAGGCUAUGCAGAAAAGGUACGCCCUUUUGUUUCGUUCGACUUGAGGAUUUGCACAGGAUUUUGAGUUCAGGGUUUCGUAUUGCAUUAUUAAUUUUGCACUCAGUGUCAGGUUUUGAGAUCAACGGAUCAGCUCACUGCUGUGGUCGAUGUUGGGGAAGGUGAUGCGAUGUUAGAAGUUGGGCUGGGAACAGGUUCUUUGACCAAUGUUCUUAUUAAUGCUGGUGCAUUUGUGCUCGCAAUCAAAAAGGAUCCAUACAUGGCUACUCAUGUGAGUGAGAGAUUUGCGGAGACUGACCGGCUCAAGGUUUUGAAAGAGGACUUUGUCAAAUGUCGCAUUCACUCACGUGUUGUCGUUGUUGGCAUGUACAGAGCCAUCGGUCUCACCCCCAUGACCUUCCGCGAUUCAAUUUUUCCUUUCUUUAAUUAAUUUUUAAAUUUUAAAUGUUUUUGCUGAUGGUUUGUUUGUUGAAAUGGAUGAAAUCAGGUGUUGGAUUAAACUGUACCUUCCACAACACAAGAAAAAAAGAAAGAUUGAUCCAUGGCGACUGCAAUUUGUGGGAGAAUCCCUCUCUCCCCCAACCAUGUCUUCAACACCAAACCAGAUUCUCUCCAUUUUUCUCAAUUCUUUCCAUUUUUCUCAAUUCUAUCCCUCUUUGCAGAUUUUGGGUUUCCCUCAAAAAUCUUUGAUUUCUUCAUCAAUUGUAAGAUUAGGAGCAGAUUUUCUUAGCUCCUUUAAUUCAAAGCUUGGAUAUUUUUUAAAUUUUAGGAAUUUUAUUAUCUUUUUAUCGAACUUUAUGAAAUUUAAUGUAUAAUUGGCCUAGAAAAUUGAUUCUCUCUAAUGGGUUUUUUUUUAUUUUUUAUUUUUUAUUUUUUUGUAAAAUGGAAGUGAUCCGUACUUAUUUUACAGAACAUGAACUGCCAAGGGUCAACACUUGAGAAGGUGAUUUGGGUGGAGGUCGUAAAGAUGGGCAUUUUGGUUGUCAAAACGAUGUUGUUUAUGUUGUUUUGACAGGUUCGAUCAUGUAUAUAAGCAUUUGAUAGUGAAUACAUGCAGAAUGCUUCACAAUUGAAAAGAAGUAGAAUGGUAUAUUCACCUACCAGUGCCUAAACCUCCAACAAAAUGGAAACUUUUGCCAAAACAAAAGGUCUCACAAGGAGAAGCGUUCCUCAUAUUCCCCUACUGAGAAAUGUGUUCGGUGUGGUGGAUGCUACAAAAUAGAAAAAUGUUGGCUUAAGCUUGGAGUCCAGGUAAAUAUGUGUUAUCCCAAACGAUGGAAUUGCUUCAUGGGUUUUUAUAUUUUCCGGAACAGAUUUCCUGAAAAUGUUUUUGUUCACCUAGGGGUUCAAGAAUAGUCAACAAGAACUUUAAUCUUUAGACAUUCUCAUUGUUGCAGUCUCUAAUGAUUUAGUUAAUCCUAUUAGCCUAUUGUUAUAUCAAUUAAAAGAGUGUUUUAGCCUAUUGUUAGUGCUUUGAGUUAUAUACUUUCUCAUCGUUAUAUCAAUUUACCUCAUUGUCAUUCUGUGUAAUUCAUGUUUCUGGGUGUAAAAUUGUUAAUGCAAUUUCACUUUUGCAUCUAAUUAGUGGGCCAAAAAGAAAAUUUUGAACAUUUAAAAUCCUAAUCAUCUCCAUUUCACCCAAUGCAUACAUACAUAUGACAUAAGGUUUUACAUUAAUGUCAAAUUAUGUAGCAGUAGCCAAAUAUAAACUUUUGAAAUAACAUUGCUUAAAAGAGCGGUUUUAAUCUGAACUCAAUUCUUUUCGGGGACAUAUUGUACGUUAAUUCACAUUCUGGGAUGUAAUAUAGUUGGCGUGUUGGGGCUGAUCGUGGAGAUUUUGUUUACAUUGUAAUUGUUGUUGUAAAGAGUCUCUAUAUGCUGCUUAACGACUGGUAUCGACUGAUUCAUGAUCUGAUUACUUGAGAAGGUCCAUUUCUUGAAAUAGCUUGCAUCCUUAUUGCUGGUUUGACAAUCAUUAUGUGGUUAAUUGUGGUUGUUUCAAGUAUCGUGUUGGCAAUUUUCAUGAACAUUUUAAUUGGAUUGUAUGCAUCAGUUGUUGUAUAUUAGGUUUGCUUACAACAGACUAUAAUCAUUGUAAUCUCCUUGGCCUUUGAGGACACAUUAUAUGCGUGAACUACAUGGAAACAGAACUUUUUUGGAAACCAUCUCUUUCUAAUCAAAGACGUUAAGUUUCUUUUCUCUCA